AGUGAACGCUGGCGGUAGGCCUAACACAUGCAAGUCGAACGGCAGCACAGUAAGAGCUUGCUCUUACGGGUGGCGAGUGGCGGACGGGUGAGGAAUACAUCGGAAUCUACUUUUUCGUGGGGGAUAACGUAGGGAAACUUACGCUAAUACCGCAUGCGACCUACGGGUGAAAGCAGGGGAUCUUCGGACCUUGCGCGAUUGAAUGAGCCGAUGUCGGAUUAGCUAGUUGGCGGGGUAAAGGCCCACCAAGGCGACGAUCCGUAGCUGGUCUGAGGGGAUGAUCAGCCACACUGGAACUGAGAAACGGGCCAGACCCCUACGGGAGGCAGCAGUGGGGAAUAUUGGACAAUGGGCGCAAGCCUGAUCCAGCCAUACCGCGUGGGUGAAGAAGGCCUUCGGGUUGUAAAGCCCUUUUGUUGGGAAAGAAAAGCAGCAGGUUAAUACCCCGCUGUUCUGACGGUACCCAAAGAAUAAGCACCGGCUAACUUCGU
rnacentral:rRNA from 1 species